GACGAACGCUGGCGGCGUGCUUAACACAUGCAAGUCGAACGAAGUGGCGAACGGGUGAGUAACGCGUAAUCAACCUGCCCUUCAGAGGGGGACAACAGUUGGAAACGACUGCUAAUACCGCAUACUGAAGGAGGGGAUUGCGUCUGAUUAGCUAGUUGGAGGGGUAACGGCCCAACAAGGCGAUGAUCCGUAGCCGGUCGGAGAGGAGUAACGGGCAAAAUUGGACUGAGAAACGGCCCAGACUACUACGGGAGGGAGCAGUGGGGAAAUUUUCGCAAUGGACGAAAGUCUGACGGAGCAACGCCGCGUGAGUGAUGACGGCCUUCGGGUUGUAAAGCGCUGUUAAUCGGGACGCGGUACCGGAAUAGAAAGCCACGGCUAACUACGUGCCAGCAGCCGCGGUAAUUC
rnacentral:rRNA from 1 species